AAUCAACGCUGGCGGCGUGCCUAACACAUGCAAGUCGAACGAGAAAGCUGGUAGCAAUACCGGUGAGUAAAGUGGCGACCGGGUGAGUAACACGUGGACAACCUGCCACCGAGUGGGGAAUAACCCUGGGAAACCGGGGCUAAUACCGCAUAACACUUCUGGACUUCGGUCCGGGAGUUGAAACCCGCAAGGGGCUUGGUGAGGGGUCCGCGGCCGAUUAGCUAGUUGGUGAGGUAAUGGCCCACCAAGGCGANGAUCGGUAGCCGGCCUGAGAGGGCGGACGGCCACACUGGAACUGAAACACGGUCCAGACUCCUACGGGAGGCAGCAGUGGGGAAUUUUGCGCAAUGGGGGCAACCCUGACGCAGCAACGCCGCGUGGACGAUGAAGCAUCUUGGUGUGUAAAGUCCUUUCGGCAGGGGAAGAAGUCCCGGCUUGCCGGGAUUGACGGUACCUGAAGAAGAAGCCCCGGCUAACUCCGUGCCAGCCGCCGCAGUAAG
rnacentral:rRNA from 1 species